rnacentral:rRNA from 1 species
GGGGAAUAUUGCACAAUGGGCGAAAGCCUGAUGCAGCAACGCCGCGUGGAGGAUGAAGGCCUUCGGGUUGUAAACUCUUGUCUUCUGGGACGAUAAUGACGGUACCAGAGGAGGAAGCCACGGCUAACUACGUGCCAGCAGCCGCGGUAAUACGUAGGUGGCAAGCGUUGUCCGGAUUUACUGGGCGUAAAGGAUGCGUAGGCGGAUAUUUAAGUGGGAUGCGAAAUACCCGGGCUCAACCUGGGUGCUGCAUUCCAAACUGGAUAUCUAGAGUGCGGGAGAGGAAAGUGGAAUUCCUAGUGUAGCGGUGAAAUGCGUAGAGAUUAGGAAGAACACCAGUAGCGAAGGCGACUUUCUGGACCGUAACUGACGCUGAGGCAUGAAAGCGUGGGGAGCAAACA